CCUACGGGUGGCUGCAGUGGGGAAUAUUGCACAAUGGGCGCAAGCCUGAUGCAGCCAUGCCGCGUGUGUGAAGAAGGCCUUCGGGUUGUAAAGCACUUUCAGCGGGGAGGAAGGCGUUAAGGUUAAUAACCUUGUCGAUUGACGUUACCCGCAGAAGAAGCACCGGCUAACUCCGUGCCAGCAGCCGCGGUAAUACGGAGGGUGCAAGCGUUAAUCGGAAUUACUGGGCGUAAAGCGCACGCAGGCGGUCUGUCAAGUCGGAUGUGAAAUCCCCGGGCUCAACCUGGGAACUGCAUUCGAAACUGGCAGGCUAGAGUCUUGUAGAGGGGGGUAGAAUUCCAGGUGUAGCGGUGAAAUGCGUAGAGAUCUGGAGGAAUACCGGUGGCGAAGGCGGCCCCCUGGGCAAAGGCUGACGCUCAGGUGCGAAAGCGUGGGGAGCAAACAGGAUUAGAUACCCCUGUAGUC
rnacentral:rRNA from 1 species